rnacentral:rRNA from 1 species
UACGUAGGGACCAAGCGUUGUUCGGAUUUACUGGGCGUAAAGGGCGCGUAGGCGGCAAUUCAAGUCAUCUGUGAAAUCUCCGGGCUUAACCCGGAACGGUCAGGUGAUACUGUUUUGCUAGAGUGCGGAAGGGGCAAUCGGAAUUCUCGGUGUAGCGGUGAAAUGCGUAGAUAUCGAGAGGAACACCAGAGGUGAAGACGGGUUGCUGGGCCGACACUGGCGCUGACAGCGCGAAAGCCAGGGGAGCAAACGGG